AUUCUUUCGCAGAGGCAAUAUUGUAGCCUAUGAGGUUUAUCCGAGGCGCGAUCAUUGCUGGUUGAAAACUUUACCCAAUACCCCGCCAGGAUGACUUGAAAUACAGUCAGCCUUGGCAAUUUUUGGCCAGCUUCUGUGGAAGC
ensembl:snRNA U4 U4 spliceosomal RNA